UACGAAUGGUGCAAGCGUUAAUCGGAAUUACUGGGCGUAAAGCGUGCGCAGGCGGUUUGUUAAGUCUGUUGUGAAAUCCCCGAGCUCAACUUGGGAAUUGCAAUGGAUACUGGCAGGCUGGAGUAUGGUAGAGGAAGGUGGAAUUCCCGGUGUAGCAGUGAAAUGCGUAGAGAUCGGGAGGAACACCAGUGGCGAAGGCGGCCUUCUGGACCAAUACUGACGCUCAUGCACGAAAGCGUGGGGAGCAAACAGG
rnacentral:rRNA from 1 species